GGUAGAUGCAAAGGUUACCACGGGAGUGGCGGCACCUACUGCACUGUACAAAGACGCACCUUGUGUUGUAUUAUCUGGUAGCUCUGGGCUAGUUGGAAUAACCUGCUGAACGCUGGCACCUUGGACAGCAAGAGAGUUUGGACACAGCUUUCGAGUCAACCAGCUUGAAAAUGCCUUUCUCUCUCUGAGUCCAUUUGAUAUAUCGGGGGCAUGUAUUCUUGUCUUGGAGCAAAGCCAGAAGGAACUCCCAGAGACAGAGGUGGGUUCAUGGAAUGUACUACCAGGGAAGGUAGUAGAAGUAGAGACUUCAGAGGCAAUUAAGAAACUCUCAGGACUAGGUGAGUCCAUGUUAAGCAGAGCCUCGGCAGCCUCAAUUGUUUCCAUGGAUUCAUCUCCAUUCUGACAGGAAGCCUCCACUGCAGCCAAUCAGAAACACGGAAAACAUUACGGUCACAAAACCUGAC